rnacentral:rRNA from 1 species
CGAAGCGGGAAGAGCUCAAAUUUAUAAUCUGGCACCUUCGGUGUCCGAGUUGUAAUCUCUAGAAAUGUUUUCCGCGUUGGACCGCACACAAGUCUGUUGGAAUACAGCGGCAUAGUGGUGAGACCCCCGUAUAUGGUGCGGACGCCCAGCGCUUUGUGAUACAUUUUCGAAGAGUCGAGUUGUUUGGGAAUGCAGCUCAAAUUGGGUGGUAAAUUCCAUCUAAAGCUAAAUAUUGGCGAGAGACCGAUAGCGAACAAGUACCGUGAGGGAAAGAUGAAAAGCACUUUGGAAAGAGAGUUAACAGUACGUGAAAUUGUUGGAAGGGAAACGCUUGAAGUCAGACUUGCUUGCCGAGCAAUCGGUUUGCAGGCCAGCAUCAGUUUUCCGGGAUGGAUAAUGGUAGAGAGAAGGUAGCAGUUUCGGCUGUGUUAUAGCUCUCUGCUGGAUACAUCUUGGGGGACUGAGGAACGCAGUGUGCCUUUUGGCGGGGGUUUCGACCUCUUCACACUUAGGAUGCUGGUGGAAUGGCUUUAAACGACCCGUCUCA